rnacentral:rRNA from 1 species
AUGAACAUCAAAUUUCACGAAACGAAUGGUAAAAAUGGGUGGCAAGUUGCCUUAAAUUUACUGGUUGAGGUUGUCCAGUGCCUCCAGCAGCACAGGUCUGAACCUCUUGCAGUCGAGCCUCACGUUCUGCUUGUCCAUGAAGGUGCGCCUGAUGAACUCGAACCCACGCUUGUGGAAGGAGAUGGGGUCCUUGAAGAUCUUGUGGUCCCUCGGGUAGUGGUCGGUGAGGCUGCUCUCGUCGACGGUAAUGGCGUACUGCUUGUACCGGAGGCCCAUCAUCUCCGACGGGUUCCCGAAGUCGGUGCGGGAGAUCCAGUCGAGGCCGCCGAAGGGCACGAUCUGGAUGAGCGUGGCGUUCUGCGGCAGGAAGACGCAGUUGGUGAGCCCGGCGCCGUGCACGCCCAUCAUCACGUCCACCGAGUUCACCAGCUUGGCGAAGCCGUUGAUGUCGGAGCUCACGUUGGCCUCGUCGAUCACCACCUCGAACCCGAGCUCCUCGGCCAUGCCGAUAAUCUCCUCCAGGUUAAGGAACAUCCUGGUGCGGUGCCGCUUGAUGAUGAGCAGCCUCGGCUUCACCCUGGGGCUCUCCCCGAGCGCCGCCGCGGCGGCCUUGGGCAGCGAGUAGGCCGACCGCAUGAACCGGUUGAAGUCGACCAUGGUGACCCCGUUCGGCGACUUGGUGGCGUCGAUGGUGAACUCCAUGUAGGCGUGCGUGCCGACGAUGGCGUGCUUGAAGCAGUGCACCUGGUCGUCCUUGCUGAAGUCGAUAAGGGGGUACUUGGACAGCUUCUGGAGCAGGGUGUGGUACUUGAUGGUCCACCAGAGCGCCAUGUCCGUGAUGAGGAACUGCACCUCGCCGUCGAACUGGCUGGCCGUGGUGAAGAGCGGCACGAUCACGUCGGUGAAGUCGUGAAAUAG